CUGAUGGAUGGACCCGCGGUGCAUUAGCUAGUUGGUGAGGUAACGGCUCACCAAGGCCACGAUGCAUAGCCGACCUGAGAGGGUGAUCGGCCACAUUGGGACUGAGACACGGCCCAAACUCCUACGGGAGGCAGCAGUAGGGAAUCUUCGGCAAUGGACGAAAGUCUGACCGAGCAACGCCGCGUGAGUGAAGAAGGUUUUCGGAUCGUAAAACUCUGUUGUUAGAGAAGAACAAGGAUGAGAGUAACUGUUCAUCCCUUGACGGUAUCUAACCAGAAAGCCACGGCUAACUACGUGCCAGCAGCCGCGGUAAUACGUAGGUGGCAAGCGUUGUCCGGAUUUAUUGGGCGUAAAGCGAGCGCAGGCGGUUUCUUAAGUCUGAUGUGAAAGCCCCCGGCUCAACCGGGGAGGGUCAUUGGAAACUGGGAGACUUGAGUGCAGAAGAGGAGAGUGGAAUUCCAUGUGUAGCGGUGAAAUGCGUAGAUAUAUGGAGGAACACCAGUGGCGAAGGCGGCUCUCUGGUCUGUAACUGACGCUGAGGCUCGAAAGCGUGGGGAGCAAACAGGAUUAGAUACCCUGGUAGUCCACGCCGUAAACGAUGAGUGCUAAGUGUUGGAGGGUUUCCGCCCUUCAGUGCUGCAGCUAACGCAUUAAGCACUCCGCCUGGGGAGUACGACCGCAAGGUUGAAACUCAAAGGAAUUGACGGGGGCCCGCACAAGCGGUGGAGCAUGUGGUUUAAUUCGAAGCAACGCGAAGAACCUUACCAGGUCUUGACAUCCUUUGACCACUCUAGAGAUAGAGCUUCCCCUUCGGGGGCAAAGUGACAGGUGGUGCAUGGUUGUCGUCAGCUCGUGUCGUGAGAUGUUGGGUUAAGUCCCGCAACGAGCGCAACCCUUAUUGUUAGUUGCCAUCAUUCAGUUGGGCACUCUAGCAAGACUGCCGGUGACAAACCGGAGGAAGGUGGGGAUGACGUCAAAUCAUCAUGCCCCUUAUGACCUGGGCUACACACGUGCUACAAUGGGAAGUACAACGAGUUGCGAAGUCGCGAGGCUAAGCUAAUCUCUUAAAGCUUCUCUCAGUUCGGAUUGCAGGCUGCAACUCGCCUGCAUGAAGCCGGAAUCGCUAGUAAUCGCGGAUCAGCACGCCGCGGUGAAUACGUUCCCGGGCCUUGUACACACCGCCCGUCACACCACGAGAGUUUGUAACACCCGAAGUCGGUGAGGUAACCUUUUGGAGCCAGCCGCCUAAGGUGGGAUAGAUGAUUGGGGUGAAGUCGUAACAAGGUAGCCGUAUCGGAAGGUGCGGCUGGAUCACCU
rnacentral:rRNA from 1 species